GGUUAAGCGACUAAGCGUACACGGUGGAUGCCCUGGCAGUCAGAGGCGAUGAAGGGCGUGCUAAUCUGCGAUAAGCGCCGGUAAGGUGAUAUGAACCGUUAUAACCGGCGAUACCCGAAUGGGGAAACCCAGUGUGAUUCGUCACACUAUCAUUAACUGAAUCCAUAGGUUAAUGAGGCGAACCGGGGGAACUGAAACAUCUAAGUACCCCGAGGAAAAGAAAUCAACCGAGAUUCCCCCAGUAGCGGCGAGCGAACGGGGAGGAGCCCAGAGCCUGAAUCAGCAUGUGUGUUAGUGGAAGCGUCUGGAAAGUCGCGCGAUACAGGGUGACAGCCCCGUACACAAAAGCGCAUGUGCUGUGAGCUCGAUGAGUAGGGCGGGACACGUGGUAUCCUGUCUGAAUAUGGGGGGACCAUCCUCCAAGGCUAAAUACUCCUGACUGACCGAUAGUGAACCAGUACCGUGAGGGAAAGGCGAAAAGAACCCCGGCGAGGGGAGUGAAAAAGAACCUGAAACCGUGUACGUACAAGCAGUGGGAGCCCCACCACUAAGCCAGUGGUGAACUCCACAUACGCAUCCUUUGCUGAGGAUACGGUUAACGGAGCGAAAGCGACGUUCAACCGCAAAAGAAGCAGAGGGGGCUUAGUGGUGGGGUGACUGCGUACCUUUUGUAUAAUGGGUCAGCGACUUAUAUUCUGUAGCAAGGUUAACCGAAUAGGGGAGCCGGAGGGAAACCGAGUCUUAAUUGGGCGUUAAGUUGCAGGGUAUAGACCCGAAACCCGGUGAUCUAGCCAUGGGCAGGUUGAAGGUUGGGUAACACUAACUGGAGGACCGAACCGACUAAUGUUGAAAAAUUAGCGGAUGACCUGUGGCUGGGGGUGAAAGGCCAAUCAAACCGGGAGAUAGCUGGUUCUCCCCGAAAGCUAUUUAGGUAGCGCCUCGUGAACUCAUCUCCGGGGGUAGAGCACUGUUUCGGCUAGGGGGCCAUCCCGGCUUACCAACCCGAUGCAAACUGCGAAUACCGGAGAAUGUUAUCACGGGAGACACACGGCGGGUGCUAACGUCCGUCGUGAAGAGGGAAACAACCCAGACCGCCAGCUAAGGUCCCAAAGUCAUGGUUAAGUGGGAAACGAUGUGGGAAGGCCCAGACAGCCAGGAUGUUGGCUUAGAAGCAGCCAUCAUUUAAAGAAAGCGUAAUAGCUCACUGGUCGAGUCGGCCUGCGCGGAAGAUGUAACGGGGCUAAACCAUGCACCGAAGCUGCGGCAGCGAACGUAUCACUUAAAGCGAUUCAGCGGGUUACGAUUGACGGAGCGAAGCGACGUCAAAGCGUAUACAAAGUCGAGUCGGUUUAAGGAUACGUUCGUUGGGUAGGGGAGCGUUCUGUAAGCCUGUGAAGGUGGCCUGUGAGGGUUGCUGGAGGUAUCAGAAGUGCGAAUGCUGACAUAAGUAACGAUAAAGCGGGUGAAAAGCCCGCUCGCCGGAAGACCAAGGGUUCCUGUCCAACGUUAAUCGGGGCAGGGUGAGUCGACCCCUAAGGCGAGGCCGAAAGGCGUAGUCGAUGGGAAACAGGUUAAUAUUCCUGUACUUGGUGUUACUGCGAAGGGGGGACGGAGAAGGCUAUGUUGGCCGGGCGACGGUUGUCCCGGUUUAAGCGUGUAGGCUGGUUUUCCAGGCAAAUCCGGAAAAUCAAGGCUGAGGCGUGACGACGAGGCACUACGGUGCUGAAGCAACAAAUGCCCUGCUUCCAGGAAAAGCCUCUAAGCAUCAGGUAACAUCAAAUCGUACCCCAAACCGACACAGGUGGUCAGGUAGAGAAUACCAAGGCGCUUGAGAGAACUCGGGUGAAGGAACUAGGCAAAAUGGUGCCGUAACUUCGGGAGAAGGCACGCUGACACGUAGGUGAAGUGAUUUACUCAUGGAGCUGAAGUCAGUCGAAGAUACCAGCUGGCUGCAACUGUUUAUUAAAAACACAGCACUGUGCAAACACGAAAGUGGACGUAUACGGUGUGACGCCUGCCCGGUGCCGGAAGGUUAAUUGAUGGGGUCAGCGCAAGCGAAGCUCCUGAUCGAAGCCCCGGUAAACGGCGGCCGUAACUAUAACGGUCCUAAGGUAGCGAAAUUCCUUGUCGGGUAAGUUCCGACCUGCACGAAUGGCGUAAUGAUGGCCAGGCUGUCUCCACCCGAGACUCAGUGAAAUUGAACUCGCUGUGAAGAUGCAGUGUACCCGCGGCAAGACGGAAAGACCCCGUGAACCUUUACUAUAGCUUGACACUGAACAUUGAGCCUUGAUGUGUAGGAUAGGUGGGAGGCUUUGAAGUGUGGACGCCAGUCUGCAUGGAGCCGACCUUGAAAUACCACCCUUUAAUGUUUGAUGUUCUAACGUGGACCCGUAAUCCGGGUUGCGGACAGUGUCUGGUGGGUAGUUUGACUGGGGCGGUCUCCUCCUAAAGAGUAACGGAGGAGCACGAAGGUUGGCUAAUCCUGGUCGGACAUCAGGAGGUUAGUGCAAUGGCAUAAGCCAGCUUGACUGCGAGCGUGACGGCGCGAGCAGGUGCGAAAGCAGGUCAUAGUGAUCCGGUGGUUCUGAAUGGAAGGGCCAUCGCUCAACGGAUAAAAGGUACUCCGGGGAUAACAGGCUGAUACCGCCCAAGAGUUCAUAUCGACGGCGGUGUUUGGCACCUCGAUGUCGGCUCAUCACAUCCUGGGGCUGAAGUAGGUCCCAAGGGUAUGGCUGUUCGCCAUUUAAAGUGGUACGCGAGCUGGGUUUAGAACGUCGUGAGACAGUUCGGUCCCUAUCUGCCGUGGGCGCUGGAGAACUGAGGGGGGCUGCUCCUAGUACGAGAGGACCGGAGUGGACGCAUCACUGGUGUUCGGGUUGUCAUGCCAAUGGCACUGCCCGGUAGCUAAAUGCGGAAGAGAUAAGUGCUGAAAGCAUCUAAGCACGAAACUUGCCCCGAGAUGAGUUCUCCCUGAGACUUUAAGUCUCCUGAAGGAACGUUGAAGACGACGACGUUGAUAGGCCGGGUGUGUAAGCGCAGCGAUGCGUUGAGCUAACCGGUACUAAUGAACCGUGAGGCUUAACCUU
rnacentral:rRNA from 1 species